rnacentral:lncRNA from 1 species
AAAUAAAUAAAACAAAGAAAACAGUUUUUAAAUAUUAUAGUAGAAAAUAUAACAUAGCAAAAAACAAUUCAUUUUUAUUAAGAAUUUCAAUGAAAUUAUACAUUUUCGUUAAUCAUUUACUUUAUACGUAUAAUUAUAUUGAAUUUUACUUAGGAUUUAACAUUUUAAAAUAUUCAUGAUGAACGGGAGAUAUAGGCUAUAUGAUAAUAAAUCCAUCAUGUCCUUAUAUUUGACAGAUGUAAUAGAUCUACUUUUUUUAUACAAAGAAAGUAAUUUUAUAUUUUCGAAAUUAGUUGAUCUUCCUCGUUGUGGUGAUAAAUCAAUAAUUUUAAAUUCAGUAUGUCGUUUCAUCAAAAUUUUGUAUGACAUUUUGUAUGGUGCAUUCCUCAUAAAUCUGAUCCAGCAUAUUCUUAACCAAUUCACAGUUUCCUAUGUCACAUUCUACGUUUCAGACAUGAUGUAAAACCACCACAUUGGUUUCAUCAUACAACAACCGGAGCUAAAUUCUGCCGUAAUAUGUUCGGUUAAAAAUAAUUUCAACUUAAGAUGGACUUGCACCACUUUCAAAAUAAACAUAUUUACAAUAUUGUUAAAAGUUAAAACUUCCAUAUCCCAAAUAUUAGGAAUUUGAAUUUUUUUUACUAAAAAUUGUUUACAGAUAAAAAGAUCAUAUUAAGUU